UCUAGUUUCGGGUGGUUUUUCGGAGACUACGAGGACCCUGAUUUUGAGUGUGAACAACACACUAAUGCAGACACAACUUUCAAGGAUUCAAUGGCUGAAAAUGAGAUAACUUCUCCCGCAAAGACCCCUGCCAAAAGAAGUAGAGAAGAGGAUGGGUCAUCUGUAGUAGAUGUUGGUGAUGAUCUUGCACAAUUUUCAAGUAACAAGGUUAAAAAAGUGAUCAAACAGGAGAAAAAUCCGUGAAUUAAAACAUUUACUUCCUUUUAAAUGACAUUAUUCAUAAAAUUUCAUUAGCAAGUACUUUGGCACAAAUUGAAGUAGUUUGGUUUGUAUUUAAUUUGGUUUCUACCAUUUAGGAUCAUGAUUUAAUAUCUGAAAUUAGUUGACUCUU